GCAUAACGCGAAGAACCUUACCAAGGCUUGACAUCCCUUGACCGCUAUGGAAACAUAGCUUCCCUUCGGGGCAAGGAGACAGGUGGUGCAUGGUUGUCGUCAGCUCGUGUCGUGAGAUGUUGGGUUAAGUCCCGCAACGAGCGCAACCCUUGUCAUUAGUUGCCAGCACGUAAUGGUGGGAACUCUAAUGAGACUGCCGGGGGAUAACUCGGAGGAAGGUGGGGACGACGUCAAAUCAUCAUGCCCCUUAUGUCUUGGGCUACACACGUGCUACAAUGGCCGGUACAAAGAGCUGCAAUACCGUAAGGUGGAGCGAAUCUCAUAAAGCCGGUCUCAGUUCGGAUCGUGGGCUGCAACCCGCCCACGUGAAGCCGGAGUUGCUAGUAAUCGCGAAUCAGCAUGUCGCGGUGAAUGCGUUCCCGGGUCUUGUACACACCG
rnacentral:rRNA from 1 species